CCCCCGCUUCCUUCUCUUUUCCCUUCUCGUUUCCCUUCUCCUUUCCUUCUCUUUUCUCUUUUCCUUCCGCCCUUCUCUUCCAUCUUUCUUUCCGCCGCAGCCCAGCCGCCCCAUCCUUCCCCUUCUCUCCGUUCGCGAAGCAAAACCGCCACCGACCGACCUCCAUUCCUCUUCUCCUUCCCGUUCGCAGCCCGCCGCAAACCGUCGCCUCCCUUCCCUUCCAUUUUCUUCUUCCAUCCGCAGCCCUGCCGCAAACCGCCGCGUCUCCCCUACUAAAGCCGAGCGCCGCGACCCUUCUCCUCUUCUCUUCAGUUCGCAAAGCAGCCGUACGCGUCCAGAUCUGCCGCCGUCCAGAUCUGCACCGCAAGACCGCGCCGUUGCCCUUCCGCCGCUGCCCGGUCCAGAUUUGCGCGUCGCCUGUACAGCCUCACCGCCGCUGCAACCGUUUCUACCGUCUCCUUCCCCUUCUCUCCGUUCGCGCAGCAACCGCCCCAACCGUCCUUCUCCUUCCGUUCGUGCCCAACCGCCGCCCCUCUUCUCCUUCCUCCCGUGCGCCGCGACGACCCCACCGUCUUCUUCUCUUCCGUUCGCAGCAGCCGUCGCGCCGCCGCGUCUCCCCUACUGAAGCCGAGCGCCGCGACCUCCAUUCCGAUCUGCUGUCUCCACCUCCGUUCGCGAAGCAAGACCGCGCCGCUGCCAGUCCAGAUCUGCGUUGCAGUCGUCCCGCGCGCCGAUCUGCCGUCUCCAUCUCCGUUCGCGAAGCAAAACCGCCGCCACUCGCCGAACCCAACCGCCACAAGGCCUUUGUAGUUGUGCUUUAGGCUGGAAAUUGCCGUUAUUCUAGAUCUAAAAGGAGCUUGGCUUGUCUCUCUCCAGUUGGUUAAAGGAAAGCUACCGGGAAGGCAGAUUUGUUGACGAGUUGCCUUACAUACUAAAUGAUGAUGACUACAUAUCGAAGUAUCGAGCCAGCCUAAAAGCUGCAGUUCUCAAGGCAAAAGCAUGUUUUUGAGCUUUAUUUGAAGGGUAUGAUGUUUGCAUAUCAGCUCACGCUCAACCACCACCUAAAACUCUAUCCCUGAUAGUCAAGUCAACCGGUGGAAAUGUGAUUCAUGAGCUAGAUAAA